UAAAAUCGAUUUCCAUAUUGAUCCAGAUCGUUUUAUUUUGUAAUCAUGAUCUUUAUGGAUCAUUUGCCAUAAUUAAAUGCAGCUAAUGAAGGCUGUCAGCAUUUAUCCAAUCAAUUAUAAAAUGAAUUGAUUUUGUUACCAGAGACACAUUUAUACUUGUAUAAUAGUUCAGCACGACAUCUAUUGAGAAUGUCCUUGUAAUACCGGCCCAUCUAAACUUCAUUCCAAUCCAAUCUAGUACAAUUUUAGUACUUUUAGUAAUAAGCCCAUCUAGAUGGUUGAUAAUAAUUAAUCUAUUCAGCAAAUUCUGAAUAUCAACAAGUCAAACAGGUUUUUGACAUAUGAUAUUUUAAAUGCCGGCUGCCGGUGUCUGUUCGUUACUUGUUGCAUUCUAGUUUUUAAAUUUAAAAUCAAUUUCUGUUUUUCAUUCAAACCUUUCGGUUGUACGAAAUGGUAAUAUUAAAAUAAAAGUUUUUAAAUAACCAAGUCAAGUCUUUUUUUUAUACAUUUAUUUAAACUACACUUAUCUUUGCAUAUUACUACUGAAAAGAGAGAAAAAGUGCGUCAUUAUAGAAAUCCUUUGUGUUAAAAAAGGUUAAAAUUGACCAAAAGGGCAUAAGAUAAAAUACCCUUGCUCUGCAAUUUCAUCAUGGUGAAUAGUGCAUUUUUGAAUCACUUUUCACGAAAUGGUAUUAUGUUACGAUUGAACAAAAGAUCGAUAGCUAAUUUUGCCAAAGUGUCGCGUAAAAAAUUAUCUUCGAUCUUUACUGGAGCUCCUGCGAAGCAAUACCAACAUCAAAUUUAAAUUAUUCGCCUUAAUUCGGUGAAAAAAUGUUGAACAUAACUUCGAACUGCGUUCGAACAGAUAAGUAAAAUUGCACAAAAUGGCCACAAGCCGACAAGUAAUUAAACAAAAAGUGGAGAAAAAGACAUUAUCGAAAUCAUCAAAAUUCAAGGACACACAUGCUUGGGUUUAAAUUGGAAAAUAAUAACCCAAUAAAAUAUCUAUUAAAAUGCUGCACAGAGACAAAAUUUAGACUUCAUCUUCAUUGCGCCGCAGUUUGUAAGUUUUUUUUAGGUUUAAGUCAACACUAAGUUAAAAACUAUAGUUUUUUAUUUAUAAGUUUGAAAAUCGAUUUUGUUAAAAGUUAAAGAAAAUCGCUUGCUUUUUCUGCACGCAGUGAAAAAACUCUAAAACAAAAAGAAACAUUUUAUACAACAAAAGUCAACAUGAAUAUCAUCAACAAAAUUAAUUUUUCUUACUCAACUAUAAUUUUUGGUUAGAUAAAAUUUAAUUCAAAUCAUUAUUAUCUCUUAGGUGAAGUAUUACAAUAUUUAAGAAUUUUUUGUUUAGCUUUUCGUUGAAAGAUAAAUUAUUGCACUUUUCGUUGUUAUGAAUAUAAACUCCUGGCUCAUAUUUAAUUAAUAUUUAUUUAUUUUAUUUUCUUGAGAUCAAAAGUCUUUCGAAUUAAAAUUUUCUAUUUCUUCAGCUUCAUAUCUCCCAGGCAUUAAUAAAAGUAUCUAUUCUCUGUAAUAAUUGACUGAGUCCAGUUUAUGGCCUCUGUUAUAAGUUUCUUCGCUCAUUUUAAGGGUAAGAAAUAUUUCUUUAAAGGCAAUCAGCUCAGGUUUUUUGAAAAAAGAAUUCAUUAAAUGGUUUUUGUUUUGUAAAUUCAAUUCAUGGUGUUUUAUAAGUUCAACAUCAUCUAAUCAAUAUCAUUGUUUUUUUCAUUACCGGCAAAGGAAAGUUGAAUCGACAUCUCGUUUUAUUUCUUUUCCCUUUUGUACAUGUGUGGGAUGGGAAUGCUUGUGUCGCAAAUAUAAAACCUACAAAUUCCAAUCAUCAUAUUCACAAGUGAUAAACUCAUCAAUACAUUCAACGCACUUGGAUAUUUGUAAAUUACUACUUUCUGCUGAGUAAACAGGAGAAUUUUCUAGCCACAAAAAAAUAUGUUCGUGAGGUGAUCCUCUAAGUUGAAAUUCAACUCUUUCAUAGCUAUCUAUUAAUCUAUAUCUAUUGAAUUGCCCAUUAACAUCCCUCAAAUUGUUCAUAUAUUUGCUGCAUUUAUGAUCAAAAUAUCUAGCACAAGUUACUGGGUCAUUCCUUAUUAGUUCUGUUUUGUCAUAUUGAUCUAAUGAAAUUACUUCUUCUAAUGUUAAUUUUUUUUUCCGCGAAGUAAUAAUGACAAUAAUUGUACCAGUUCAGGCCAGUUAUCUUCAACUGCAGAUAAGUUCAAAAAUAUUAUUGACGUUUGUUGUUGAGGACGUUGACGGGUCCGAAAAAUAGGUUUCAACUGGUUUCAA